rnacentral:rRNA from 1 species
UAGGGAAUCUUCGGCAAUGGGGGGAACCCUGACCGAGCAACGCCGCGUGAGUGAAGAAGGUUUUCGGAUCGUAAAGCUCUGUUGUUAAGGAAGAACGAGUGUGAGAAUGGAAAGUUCAUACUGUGACGGUACUUAACCAGAAAGGGACGGCUAACUACGUGCCAGCAGCCGCGGUAAUACGUAGGUCCCGAGCGUUGUCCGGAUUUAUUGGGCGUAAAGCGAGCGCAGGCGGUUAGAUAAGUCUGAAGUUAAAGGCAGUGGCUCAACCAAUGUAGGCUUUGGAAACUGUUUAACUUGAGUGCAGAAGGGGGGAGUAGAAUUCCAUGUGGAGCGGUGAAAUGCGUAGAUAUAUGGAGGAACACCGGUGGCGAAAGCGGCUCUCUGGUCUGUAACUGACGCUGAGGCUCGAAAGAGUGGGGAGCGAACAGG